AGCAGCCGCGGUAAUUCCAGCUCCAAUAGCGUAUAUUAAAGUUGUUGCAGUUAAAAAGCUCGUAGUUGAAUUUCGGGAUUUGUCAGUUGGUCGGGCUUCACUGUCCGUAUUGACUUGAUGGAUUCUUACCUUCUGAAUAACCAGCAUGCUAUUAAGUUAGUGCGUUGGGGAAGCAGAUCUAUUACCUUGAAAAAAUUAGAGUGCUUAAAGCGAGCUAGUGCUUGAAUAGAUUAGCAUGGAAUAAUAAAAUAGGACGGCAUGGUUCUAUUUUGUUGGUUUCUAGGAUCACCGUAAUGAUUAAUAGGGAUAGUUGGGGGCAUUAGUAUUCAAUUGUCAGAGGUGAAAUUCUUGGAUUUAUUGAAGACUAACUUCUGCGAAAGCAUUUGCCAAGGAUGUUUUCAUUAAUCAAGAACGAAAGUUAGGGGAUCGAAGACGAUCAGAUACCGUCGUAGUCUUAACCAUAAACUAUGCCGACUAGGAAUCGGACGAUGUAAUUUUAUAAUGACUCGUUCGG
rnacentral:rRNA from 1 species